rnacentral:lncRNA from 1 species
GAAUACAGAGGUUUGCUAUGAUUCUAUAUAUACACAGUAUCAGAUAAUAAGACACAUUAUCUGUAUAGUUUUAUCGAAAAGAUGAAAUAAAAUGUUGAAACAACAAUGAACAGAAAAAAGUGUUCCCUCAUUCACACACCUUUGAUCAAAGAAAGAUAAGAGAAAUGACUUUUGAAGAGCGCGAGAAGAAUAAAAAUGUAAUUUUUAUCUACAAAAAAACAUAACUAAUAAUGACGAGAGUCAAAAGAUGGACAUAGCGCAAGUAGACAAUUUAAAAUCUAUCGGAAUUCAAGAAGUUACCUACCGUUUAAAUUUGAGACGAAACUAGGUUAAUAGCAGUGCCUCGGUGAUCCAAUAAGAUGGUAUACACAUCCUUCCACUCUGAAUGUCGGCAUCCAUCCCACUUCCCUCUUCUCAGUGGCUUGAGAGUUUAUCAUGUAGAAAGCUGAGUUGUAUAGCCUCAUGUUCUUCAAGAAUUCCUUUGACUUCGAACUUUUCCCUUGCAGAAGAGUUUUUAGGGUUUUUGUGGACUGAGAUUCACUUUCCCAUCAGCACAACAGAAGCAUAGUCCUUUACUUCUGGACUCCUGUGCUGAACGCCUUAAACUUCAAAGCAUCGCCCUUUUGGCAUGGGUGGUUCAUUUCACCAAUAACCACUGCAGGAUAUUUGUCGAACUUGAAUGUAGUUUUGAUAACCAAAAAGUUUGAUUCCUCAUCUUUGCUAAUCGCUUUGUUCCUUGCCUGUUUCUGGGCUGGACUCACCUCUACUCUUGAGGCUGCUCUGUUCUCCCUAAUCUUUCUCAACCUUUCAUUCCUUUGGGCUGACUUUCCUCUUACUCUUGUGGCUGUAGUGUUAUCCCUAUUUAUUCAUUUGUCAACCUUUCAUUCCUUACAACGAUUGUCUAUACUGCUCGUAUCACUGCCUUCCGGAUCCGUUUAGCUUCCCUCCAAACAGCCUCCCUUUCCUUUUUACUUAAUUUUGGAGGUGGUGCUUGUUGCUGUCUAGAGUGAGGUGGAUCUUCGAUUUUUCCAAGGAGAGCUCCAAUGAUGAGAGAAUAUUAAUCUUCACUUAUUUUUAUGAUUGUAAUGUAUUUAUCCUAAUAUAACUGGAUGAUAAUUUAUAUAUGAAGAGACUAAAUAACGUAA